rnacentral:tRNA from 1 species
GUGGCUGUGGCUCAGUGGUAGAGCGCUUGUCUAUCAUGCAUGAGACACUGGGUUUGACCCCAGCACCACA